CUUUAAAAGAGUAUACACUGUACACUUUGUGACUUUACCUACUUUUUACUGUAGUCUGAGCUACUUUUCAAUUUAAAACUAUUUAUGUAUGGAUAAGUUAAGUAUGUAUACAAGAACGAUAAUUAAAAUUGAACACAUCACACUGUUAAAGUAUAUUCAUACAUAAAGCAACACAUUCUCGUGAAAAAUAGAAAACUGUGUGUUAAGUUCUAUUUUUUAGUAAAGUUAUAUUAAGAAUUUUUAAACCUGAAUAUCACUCCCGUAAUUUCAUUAAUAGAUUGCGCUUCCUUCUCAGUGCUUCAAUUUAGUUGUUGCGAUGUUUUUAAUUUUGUUGUAAAUAAUCAAAGAUAAAGCUGUUGAAAGUUAUUGUGUUUUAAAACUUUAAUUAAUAGUUGUUAAAAUGGAAGUGUCAAAUGAAAUAAAAGAAGAUAUCCGUAAAACUCAAACGGACUUAAAAAAUGCGAUACGAGUUCAUCAGGUGUGGGUUUCACGAUUACAUGAAGAUGAAAACAAUGUUCUUUUUAAAACAAAGGUCAAAGAAGCUGAGAAUGAAAUCAUUGCAAUUGGACAUGCACAAAAGCUGGUCGUAGAUAGACUCAGGAGAGAACUAGAACUAUAUCAGCAAUGCUUAAAAUCUAGAAAUAAGCAGAUUAAUAUGGACAAUGACAAUCAAUAUGUAGCUCAGCAGCUAAGGGACCAUCAACUUCAAUAUAAUGGAAAGAAUAGAAAAAUAUCACUUCUUAAACCAUCAGUACUUACUGAAAUACAUAUAAAGACUGAGAAUCACAAUGAUGCCAUAAAAGGAAGCAUAUCUGAUUCAGAAAAUGAAUUGAAAUCUUCCUUAGAAAAGGAUAACUCCAACAAUAGUGAAAGUGAUGAAAAAGAAAAAUAUCACAGAAAUUUUGCCCAGUAUCAUAAUUCUGUACAAGAUAGUAGGAGUAAUUUUGUUAAUGCUCUGAAGAAAGUCAAGGAAACACUUGUCAAAGAUCACAGUGAAUGGCAUGAACCAAGAUCAGAUACUGAUUCAUCAAACGCAGAGCAAUCUCCAAGUCCAUCACCUCCGCCCCUAGAGCCUGUGUCUCAGGAAACCUUUAUGAUGCUCCUCGGUUUGGUGACGCCGUACCAUAAGGAGCUUUUGGAACGCAAAAUUGAAGAACGACGCAAGAGGGCUUCUGAAAACAAACCUGAUUUUGUGUACGCAAAUUAUGAAAUGAUGCCGAAGCGUAAGAAAUACAAUCAGUUUUCAUAUCUUCAGUCGAAUAAUGAUCCACCACAAACUCGUUCAGCAAAACUACGUAAGCAACUGUCUUCACAAAACAAAUCGUCAAGAGAAGGCUCGCCGUCAGGUUCGUCAACCGAAAACAAAGCGGGUUGGAGUAACAACAAGCCAGCGUGGGUUGCGUCUUUGCCGCCAAGUUUGUCUGUCGAGCCCGUAUAUCCUUCGACGAAGAAAGUUUGUCACGGCUGCGGAAGGAACGAUGUGCCGUCGCUGCUUGUGUGGUGUGCGGGCUGCAACAUAUGGAUGCACACGGGGUGCGGCGCGGAGGGGAGGUGCGGGGCGUGCCGCACCCCGCUCCCCGACCCCGCGCACCUGCCCCCCGCGCACAGACCCGAACAACUACUCGACGACUCUCUGUACAGAAGUAAAUAAAUUAGCCGAACGCAAGAGCCUUCAAGAGCGAAACAUAAAGCUGUGCGUCGAGUUACGGAAACUGGAAACCCGAGCUGCCACGCUCAAGGCGAAUCUCGACGAGCACAACGCGGAAAAGCGGCAACUGCUCGCGGACCAGAUCAACACGCAGAGAAACCUCCAGAAGCUUCUGGACUUCAUCAGCCAGUUCAAGGAGACGUCGAUAAGCAUGCGCUCGACUUCCGCGAGCGACUCCAGCAGCGAGGUCAGCAAAAGUAAUGAGGAAUGAAGUCCUUAGAACAUCUGAAGCGUCUCUAUGUUGUGAAAAUCUGUUUACCGUUGUUACAAGAUCAAUAGAAUGAAUUUCGUGAAAAACAUUUCAUAUCCUUAUACCGUUGUUUCGUUAGUGUUUAAUUAUUAUUUUUAAUUGUUAGCUUUAUUAAUUGAAUAUUUUUAAAUAUUAAAAUUGUUUAGAAAAUUUAAGAAACUAAAUUAAUUAUAUAACACCUUUAAAUAAAUGUGUUACAUAAAUUGUUGAUGAAAAAAAUAUCACUGAUUUUCGAAAAUACUUUUAUAUUUAAAAUUUUAUAGCCAAAAGUGAAGUGUUCAGUAUUUCAAUUGAUUAAUACGCGUUUUAGCAUUUUGUUUUAAGGUAUUGAUAGUUUUUAGAUAACUGUAAAAUGAAAUGAAAUUGAUCUUCCGUCCAUCUGGAUGAGAUGAGGGAUAAAUGUAUUUGAUUUUACGGUCUACAAAUAUGAGAUUGUAAAUGUAAGUCCGCUUUAUAUUAAACGUUUUGGAAUAGCUAUAUAUUUCUUUAGGUCGAGAUUUAUUCAUUGAAUUUUGUCGACAACGAGGAAUCAACUAUAAAUAAUUUAAUUUUGUAAUUUGUUUUUGUUCAAGUGAUGAGUAUUUGUCUGGAUUAAAGUAACUCCACAGGGUCGUCGUAUCUUAAGAUGCAGAUUGCACGACAAGAAUUUCCACUCUGGAACCCACGAGUGAGAGUUUCCUUGAAACUGGAUUGUGGAGUUAGUUACACUGGGGUGGGGCCAAAUUUGAUUUUGAAAAAAAAAUUAUGAGUUUUGUUAUUUCGUUAUGUCAACUUUUAUUAAUUUUUGUUUUUAUUUAAAAUAUGUAUUUGACUAUACGAAUAUUGGCGGAAGAAGGAAAGUGAAUGAUUUCAAUAAAUAGUGAAUAUAUUUUCUGUAAAAGUUUAUACAAGAACAAGUUUCAUUAAAAACAAUUUUUUUUUUGUAAAAAACAUUUUAAUCAAUUUUCCUAGAAAGUACAAAACGUUAAAAUAUCUGUGGAGUUUAAAUUGUUUUGUGAUAUUAAAAUUAUUACAAGAAAUCGACCUGAAACCGUUAAUUCAGAAGUUGAAUUAAUUCUUAAUAAUUGUUCUCUGUGAUAUGGUUAGGUUUUCCUAGGUUGUUGAUAGUUAAUUAUUAUUAAGUGAUUUGUACAAAUUAACCGAGAUGAUUUGUAAAUAAAGUAAAAUAAUAAACUCGAAAA